rnacentral:rRNA from 1 species
AAAAGCUGCGUUUGCAGCGCUUUAAGAUGGAUUCGCGGUGCAUUAGUUAGUUGGUGAGGUAAAGGCUCACCAAGACAAUGAUGCAUAGCCGAGUUGAGAGACUGACCGGCCACAUUGGGACUGACACACGGCCCAAACUCCUACGGGAGGCUGCAGUAGGGAAUCUUCCACAAUGGGCGCAAGCCUGAUGGAGCAACGCCGCGUGUGUGAUGAAGGCUUUCGGGUCGU